GAAAAGAGAGCUUGUUAUAUUGCAUCGUUUAAGGCUCAAGCGGAACCACGGGGAAUACAAGCUGACCUAGUGCUGAAGUCUCACGCUCUUUUGCUCAUUUGUUCAACAGGUGUUUAUUGAGUGUCUACUACGUACCCGGCAGGGAGCUGGAUUCUUGGGACGAAUGGAACAAGAUGCCGCUUCCCUUGGGCAGUAGAGUCCCUGGCAGCUAUGGUGGAACAGCUGCAGCAGCCUUUGGCUUCGAGGACUGUAUCCAGCAGCUGAGCCCUUGCAUUCAUCAUUCAACAGAGGAUUACCGAGUGCCCACUACAUGCCAGGGUGAAGAGAGACCAGCAUGCUGGCAAGCUCUGAAGAAGGGAGGAAAAGACCCAUGUGCUGGGGUACAGAUGAUUUUCUCUCCCGACCAGUGCCUGCUAAUGGGCAGAAGCAGACCUGAGCUCUGGGUUGCAAAGGAAUCUGAGUUCACGCACCACAGAGGGAGGACCCACAGGACCAUGGGCCUUGCCCUCAUUGAUAUCCUUUCAUGGAGGAGGGAGCUCCCCUGAAUGCCAGAAGAUGCAAGAGACCUGUGGUCACCCCCUAACCCACCCAGAUCCUUCCAUCUCUCACUUUAGAUUCUUUACAAGGAGAAUGGGUCUAAGCUUUUUCUGAACACACCUCUGUCCCCAGCUCUGAAGACUGGCCCCAGGAACCUGUGGGCAGAGUCGGGGGGCCCUGCCCGCCUUCUGACCUACAUCUGCCUCGAACCCACCCAGGGCUGGCAGCUUUCCCAGCAGCUUCCCUGCUCCCCAGGGCAGAGGGCGGCUGUUAGCCAGAUGUCUUGCUGAGGGGGAUGGGUACAACCCAAAGCAUAGGGUUUGGGGCAUUCCACCAAGUGUGGAUUUAGCCGUGGCCAAGAACAACAUUUGACCCAGCACAGGGCACCAAGAACUUGACUUCCCCAUGCCCCGCCUGCCCGUCUGCCUCUUCUCCUCCUCCCCUCGACUCCUGCCUCCCUGCCUGCUGUCUCCUGCUCUACUCUGUCUCGUGUCAAGGAAAAUUCCUACAGGAGCCAGGGAGAUGGGCAGACACCAGCCCGGCCACAGCCGUCCCGACGGCCGUCCUGGACAGGAUGGGGGCCUGGGGAGGGGCCUGCAGUCUGUGCCAGCCCCGUCUGAAGCUGGAGAACGGCUUAGAUCCAGGGGGCCUCAGAGGCGAGAUAGCAGUGCCCUGGUGUACAGUGAGGACUGUGGGGGUCCCCGUGCCCCUGCUGGAGACCAUCCCCCUUUGAACCACAUUCAGAUGCCAAGCCCAGCUCUGGAAAUCAAGUGUAGGCAAGAACAGGCAGCUGGAGGGGUGCUGAUUUGCCAAGAGCCACUCAUAACACCCCAGCACAAGGGUCACACAGCCGUGACCUUGACAAGGACCCAGAGAUAAAGAUCCUUCCCACAUGGCUCCAAAGCCCCUCCCUUCCUGCUCACGCCGCAUGCCUCUCCCGGAGAACUAGAGGCUGCAGUGGCGGCAGUUGGAGCAUCUCACUGCGGGGCUCGGGAAGGAGGAAAGGAGUGAGCAUGUCCUGCUCCUGCACGUCCCUGCUUAAGCUCAGGACUGGCCCUUCCAGGCCAAGGACCCCAGCAUAGACCCCAGAACAGGGCCCCAAGGAUCCCUGGCUCAUGAGAGCGGCUUGCUGGGCUGCCCCAACAGAGCCUGAAAGAAACACAUUGUUGAGCUGAGCUGAGCUGACAUCGCUGUUUCUUCCAGACUGCUCUCUAAAGUGGGCAGGUGAGUUCUUGCCCUGUAUGAAGGGGUCAGGGAGAUGGCAGGGUCCUGUCCAGAGAGCUGCCUUGUGCCGUUUGACACCAGCAGGCCAAUUUCAGCAGGUUAACAGGGGAAAUGGCAACCUGUGGCCCACGAGGGAGUGCCCCCACUUGAACAUCUCUAGAGGCUACUGAUUGUCAGGCAGAGGUGGGAUCGUCCAGGGGAUGGUGUAACCUGCUCCUUCUUCCUGCCCUUCCUGGUGUCUGUCACCCCCACCCCUUCCCUAAGGUUCUGGAGCCUCAGCCACAGCCCCCCACCCCAGGAACAGAGACUCCUGAGGACAAGACACAAAUGGGAAGCUCCAGUCCCUGUGCACAACUGUAUCUACGAAAUUCUUUUCAUCUUUGUUUUGAUGAGCAAAGUUCAAU